UGGGGAAUAUUGGGCAAUGGGCGAAAGCCUGACCCAGCAACGCCGCGUGAAGUAUGAAGGCCUUCGGGUUGUAAACUUCUUUGAUCAGGGAAGAAACAAAUGACGGUACCUGAAAAACAAGCCACGGCUAACUACGUGCCAGCAGCCGCGGUAAUACGUAGGUGGCGAGCGUUAUCCGGAUUUACUGGGUGUAAAGGGCGUGCAGGCGGGCUGAUAAGUCAGAUGUGAAAUCCCCGAGCUUAACUCGGGAACUGCAUCUGAUACUGUUGGUCUGGAGUGCUGGAGAGGAUAGUGGAAUUCCUAGUGUAGCGGUAAAAUGCGCAGAUAUUAGGAGGAACACCAGUGGCGAAGGCGGCUAUCUGGACAGUAACUGACGCUGAGGCGCGAAAGCGUGGGUAGCAAACAGG
rnacentral:rRNA from 1 species